GAGAGUCGGCGGUCCCCUUCCGGGGGGACGAGGGUGGACAGGUGGUGCAUGGUUGUCGUCAGCUCGUGUCGUGAGAUGUUGGGUUAAGUCCGCAACGAGCGCAACCCUCGACCUUAGUUGCCAGCAUUCAGUUGGGCACUCUAAGGUGACUGCCGGCUAAAAGUCGGAGGAAGGUGGGGAUGACGUCAAAUCAUCAUGCCCCUUAUGACCUGGGCUACACACGUGCUACAAUGGGCGGUACAAAGGGUCGCGAACCCGCGAGGGGGAGCCAAUCCCAAAAAGCCGCUCUCAGUUCGGAUUGCAGGCUGCAACUCGCCUGCAUGAAGCCGGAAUCGCUAGUAAUCGCGGAUCAGCAUGCCGCGGUGAAUACAUUCCCGGGCCUU
rnacentral:rRNA from 1 species